AAGGGCCAAGAGAGUAUCGAUUAAACAAAUUGUGUGGCUGUGGGACGAAAAGAGCGUGGGUGGACAUUCCUAUGGAUUAGUGUUGGGUAAACAUUGCUCCUUUUGGGGAACAUGUUCACUUGUUCUUUUUUAGUAAGUGAAUCAACUCCAAACUCCACCAAACAUUUUGACACAAAUAAAAUACGUUACAUUUCAAUUUUAAUCAAACAUUUAAAACUAAAAAAAAAAAUUGCAAUGAUUCCAAUGAUUCACUAUACUUUCGAAGUAUCGAAUAUACUUCGAAUUAGCGACAUACUGAAUUUUCAAAAGAAUAAACAGUUUUGCCGGUAAUACAAAAAGUGUGAAGUAAAAGCAAAUAUGAGCAACAACUGCCAGAACGCAAAAUGCCCUUUAAGGAGCAAAAUUUCGCAAAAAGUUGAUAUUUUGUGACCUGCAAGACCAUACACUGAACAAAAUUUCAUUGAGAUAGCUUUAGAACUCAGUUACUUUCUGCCGUUACCUUGAAAUUUUCUU